UACGUAGGGUGCAAGCGUUAAUGGGAAUUACUGGGCGUAAAGCGUGCGCAGGCGGUUCGCUAAGACAGAUGUGAAAUCCCCGGGCUUAACCUGGGAACUGCAUUUGUGACUGGCGGGCUAGAGUAUGGCAGAGGGGGGUAGAAUUCCACGUGUAGCAGUGAAAUGCGUAGAUAUGCGGAGGAACACCGAUGGCGAAGGCAAUCCCCUGGGCCUGCACUGACGCUCAUGCACGAAAGCGUGGGGAGCAAACAGG
rnacentral:rRNA from 1 species